GGGACGUAGCCAAAUGGUAAGGCGACGGAAUUUGGUGCCGUUAAACGGAGGUUCGAAUCCUCCCGUCCCA
rnacentral:tRNA from 1 species